AGUGGGACGGUACCGAUGGAUGUAUAGGUUUGUACUGGGAGGAAGAAUACAUUCAACACAUCAAGAAAUCUUUUACACAGGCCGUUGAGGUUGAAGAUGAUGAGGUAGUGAGCCGGCAGAAGGAGUCCAUCGAUGUUGAUCAAGUGAAUGAUCUGUCUAUUAUAGUUGGGAUCGGACGCGAACUAAUUAUAUUGCUUAAGUGCAUUUUAGUUUUAGUUUUUUUGGUGCUAGUUGUGAUUGUCUUUGUUGUAGCCAGGCUUGCAAGAAUUAAUCAACUAUGUGUGU
rnacentral:lncRNA from 1 species